AGUGAACGCUGGCGGCAGGCCUAACACAUGCAAGUCGAGCGGAAGCACAGAGCUUGCUUGUGGAUUCGGGGGGCGACGGGCGGGCGAGGCCGAGGAACAUCCGUAGCUGCGUUGGAGAAGGGCCUAAAGCGGGGGCUAAUACCCUAUUACCCCAGACGACCUACGGGGGGGAGCAGCGGACCUUCCGCUAUUGGGCGAGCCAAGGACGGGUUAGCGAGUUGGUGGGGUGAAGGCCUACCAAGGCGACGAUCCGUAACUGGUCUGAGAGGAUGAUCAGUCACACUGGAACUGAGACACGGUCCAGACUCCUACGGGAGGCAGCAGUGGGGAAUAUUGGACAAUGGGCGCAAGCCUGACCCAGCCAUGCCGCGUGUGUGAAGAAGGCCUUCGGGUUGUAAAGCCCUUUAAGUUGGGAAGAAGGGCAGUAGGUUAAUGCCUCGCUGUUCUGACGGUACCAACAGAAUAAGCACCGGCUAACUUCGUG
rnacentral:rRNA from 1 species